UAUAUACAGGAUAAAAAUUAAAAGCAUUUCCACCAUCAAGAACAAUGCCGGAUUUAUUUGUGUACAAUAGUGAAAAUAACUUUUCGCACAGCAAAAGAAAGUCAUUGUUCUCGACACAAGCUUUUGAAAGCACUCCAACUUUUUAUUUGUAUACAACAAAUCUAGUUUGUAGGUUUGUAGUUCAAAGACUUAAGUUAUCACGUGUGUUAUAUUUGAAAUCGAAAAGGAACUUCAAGGUAUAUUGGUAAGACAGAAAGUGU
rnacentral:lncRNA from 1 species